AUUCUCCUCUUCUCUUUGUUCAUCUCACUCAAACCAAACGACCUUCAAACCACCCAGAAACAUUCAUCUCACUCGAUUCUUCAAAUUACCCACUCACCUAGAAACCCAGAACCCUUCUUCUUCGACCAUCGUCACUCUCACUCCAUCCAGAACCCUUCUUCUUCGACCUUCUUCUCACCAACCUCACUCACCCAAAAACUCAUUGAAACCCUAAACCCCAUAAAAUGUCAAUCGAUUGAACCCAGAAUCCCAUUUAAACCCUUAAAUAAAAAUCAAUUGAACCUUGAGAACUCGCUGAAACCCUAAAACCAUCUUUCCCAAUCGUUCAUCAUUGUCCAUCGUUUCAGAACACGUUUACCCAGAAACUCUUCAUCAUUCCGCCAUCGUUCAUCGCAGUUGAACCGCCAUCUUGUCAUGAGAGAUUAUUUGCCUUAGUGCCUCUACAAACAAAUGUCUAACAUACAGAAGUAGGCAGAGGAAUAAGCUGCUUUAUCAUGGAAGAAUUAGACCCUGAUGACACUGGAUUUAUCAUGGUAACUACUAUAUGAGUUUUGGGUAGUGAUGGAAUGGUUCUUGUAAAGAAGGGCUGCUCAAAUGCAUCUUCUCCAUAUAUUUGCAAGUUACAAUAGGAAACUUGACAUGUUUUCAUAUAUGAAUUAAGAAUGUCUUAUAGAUUAUGAUCAAUGUUUUUAUUAUGGAAAAUUGACUUGUUGAUUAUAAAUGUAUUGCCUCAUGAGCUUGUUAUAGAACUUGAAAUAAAUUUGAUUAGCGGUGAUUACGGCGUUGGGAAGAGUACUCUAUUGUUGCAGGUAUGGCGUUAGUUAGAUUAUGUGCUUAAAUUUAAUAUCACUAUUUUGUGUUCUUUUCUUGUAUUACCCAAAAAUUGGGAAGUAUAUCUUAGGAAUGGACAAGAGCUUAUUUAAUUUUUUUUUGAAAUCUUACUAAAUACAAGUGAUAGCAGCAUUGGAGCAUGUUAAGUACUUUUCUAAAAUCU